CUCAAGGUGUGUCCGUGUAGAGUCUGUCUCCAGGUGUGUGUGUGUUUACAUAGUCUGUCUCCAGGUGUGUGUGUUUACAGAGUCUGUCUCCAGGUGUGUGUGUUUACAGAGUCUGUGUCCAGGUAGGUGUGUGUGUUUACAGAGUCUGUGUCCAGGUAGGUGUGUGUUUACAGAGUCUGUGUCCAGGUAGGUGUGUGUGUUUACAGAGUCUGUGUCCAGGGCCCCGUUUCCCGAUAACAAUGGAUCCACGCUCGUACGAUCAUUCUCACGAUGGAUCUUGUGAUCCAUCGUAAAUUUCUUUGGAGCGUUUCCCGAAACUCCUCUUAACAUGAACGCGCGUUCACUGCACUCAUGACGUUCGUAGGAUUGUAACUGUCCACUGACACGGUGCUGAAAUGGGCUCCGUAGGAGGGGGAGACGCAGGAAUGUUGCAGGAAAAUGGGGUUAAAAA